GGCAGUGACGUCAAGGAGUGCCGGGGACAAGGGAGCGGAGACACGGAAAAGUGCUGGAGUAGGGUUGUGUGCUCUUACAUGCCCCAGGGCACGGCUCUCUCUAGCAAACCCUGGAGUGAAGCUGCUAUCAGCGUGCGGAGACUGAGUGCUACCGACAGGCCGUUGUCUCUUCGUGUUCAGAGUCAUGCAGAGGGACAGGAGUGACUCAGUAAUAGGAAGUAUUAGUUGCACUGAGGCAAAACCAGGUGAAGUUAUUACUUGGUUACUCUGUGACCUUGGGUCACUGUUCUGUAUCAAUCCCAUGUUUUCUUAUGAAUCAGAAAUAGUAGUGCUUUCCAAAAGCAUACUGUGAAUAAACACUAAUGAGCCUGAAAUGCUUAUCAGCUGUAGUAACAACAGGUAGAUAGUUGUGUUGUUUCUCUAUUGUAGCAUAGACACUACAUCCAAGAUUGUUUUGCUUGCAAGCUCUUCCUGUGGUAGUAACAUUGCACAGAAGUAGACUCUUCCUUCAGAGGACACUUUAUAGCUCAUGAUACUCUGUGAUAUGCAAUGUUAGAAUCAAGGAAUGGCUUAGAUUGGAAGGGCCCUUAAGGAUCGUUGAGUUCCAGCCCCCUUCUGCAGGCUGUGUGAAGUCACAUUUCAUAUUUAUAUGCAGAAAGUUUUCUAAUAUCCUUUUAAAUAACCACCAUUCUGCAGUACAAGUAGUUUUUUCUCCUGUUUUCUUAAAACAGCGCCACUACUGUUAAGGAAACCUAGUGAGUUUCUAAUGUGGCUGCUUGUCUCUGGGUGAGGAGGUAGAUCAAGGCUAUUGGUAUGGAACUGGAAGAGAGAUGUUCCAGUGUGUCUGCUCACAUCUUGGUGUGAUCAAGGAAUUACUUAGAACUGGUUUGUAGCUCUCUGUGCCACCACACAGCUAUACUUGUGUAAGUACUGUUUAUGAGGUACUGUCUUGAGGUGCCUCCAUAUUAGCAAGAAAAUACUGAAGCAGGUGACAGUAAGUUCAUAACAACAAGCUGAGCAGUUCGGGGAAACAGUCUUUUUAUUCUCACAUGAUCUGUGUAGAAAAUGAAUUGCCUUAAGUAUGGCGCUGGCAAACACUUCACUAGAGGAAUCUGAAAACUCUGUAGGAGUUGCCUGGAGUGCUUCGUGCCGCUCUCGAGAACAGAGCUGCCACCGCCAUAGCAGGUGAGCUGGAGCUGCUGCUCUCAGGAGUCAGCUGAGUUUUCCUCUGCAGUUUUGCUUUAUGCAAAUUGGAGCAGCUGCCUUGUUGUCUGGUGUUCUUUGAGUUUGUUUUUGUUUCUUUAGCUUGUUUGCUUUUCUGAUCUAUUCUGGAAGGAUACACCACGAAGCAGCACUAACUGCCCGGUGUCUUUAAGUUUUGCUUCUGAGAGUAAUUUGUUCUGUAGUUUUUAUCGCUUGUCUGCUCAAGUUUGUUUGGAACUUCCAUAGUGCUAAAUAGGACAAGUGUUCUGUGUGAGGAGGAGGUGAGCACAACAGAAGACUUUUGUCUUCAGUUUUAACAACAAAACUGAAAGUUGCUCUGGCAAAAUGGCAAUUCAUUGUUAAUUCAUGAGAUGUAGGUGCCCUGGAAAAAUCAAAUACCAGUUUCAUAGCUACCCUUAGGCAUCUCUAAUUUAUGCAAGCAGGGCUCGCUGAGUAACUACUGAGUCUCAUUGACCUUAGUAGGUUUGCAGAGGUCAUGUUUUAACGCAGAUAAGUUAUGCUUGAACCAUUUUCUCAGUAGGCAUUAGGAGCAAGUGUUUGUGUACAUAAUUACAUGCUUUUUUUCCACUCCUCCAUUACAGUUUCUGUUUUUCUUUAGAUUCUUGCUUGUAAGUACUACAGUAAAUCCUAGAGUCUUUUUUUGUUUGUGCUUUUUCUUAAUCUAUCAUCUUAAUGUUAGUGAGGAAUGUGAGUUUUUGAGGACAGCUUCUUUCUUGGCUUUCAGCACAGAGGUUUCACAGACCACCAGAAAGGCAGUUGUAGGAUCAGGGGAACUUGGGGUGUGGGAAGCCAGAACAACCCAAAUGUGUGCGAGUGACAUCAGCGUUUUUCUGAGCCAUUUAUGCUGCUCACUUCUGUCGGUUCCCAGCAGUGCCUGUGUCUUAUGUAAGCUCCCACUGUACAUCCUGUCCUGCUGUUCUCAUGCAUGAAAAUCAUUGGCGUUAUCUUACUGUACGUUUUGAGAGCAGAGCAGUUACUGGCUUCUCGUUGUCUCAAAUGUCUGCAUGCAAAUCUCUCACAAGUGUGCUGGAGAGAGAGCCAUGCCAAGAGCAUGAUACUGUCUUCAUAGGAAACAUCAGAGGGAUAACUUGGAGUGAACGCAGCCUGUCCUCUGCUCUUUCUGGUAAUAGGCACUAUGAAGUAAUGCAGCUACAGAGGUAAUUGUACUUCUACAGUCUGCAGUCCUGAUCUGUAUCACGCGCAGAUGGACCACUAAUGCAGUUUUGAUGGCUGGUGAUAGAACAGACAUAGAAAACGAAGGACUGUGGUUUCAACAAAAGCUUUAAUAACGUUAGGACUAGAAGAGAGAGGCUUUUAUAUACUCUUACUGUGCACUGCUUGUUAGGGGUCUUGGAAAGAAACUCUGCCUUCAGGUGGACCGAUGCUUUACUCUUGUUCCUGUAGUUAUUUAGCGAUGCAUAAUGGAGGUACUGUGAAACUGGAGCAAAGCUUUCAUUACACGGUUUCAGAAACAUUCCUUCAAUUUCUUUUUUUUUUUUCUUUCUUGCUAAAUCUGAAGUCAUCAGGCAUGAAAUCCUUCAGUGAUGUGAUAUCUGUUAACGCAGAGAAAGUAACUUGGCCACCUUGUUUAAACGCUACCUCGUGCUCCAGUUACAAAGUGAAGUUCCCUCUGCUUCUUCAAUACUCUUGUCUCUUCUGUUUGUGCUCCUGCACUAUGAAGGAGACAAGUUUCUGCUCCUCUGCUCUGGUGAAUGUGCUUGCAUGGCACUGUGGCUUGUUCUGGAGAGCUGUGUUUGAAGGGCUGUAGAGUUUGUUAUAAGCGCUGAUGGGAAAGGCUGACGGGCAGGAGAAGUGCACCUGGGUAGGAGUGCGUUUGUGGAAAGGCCUUGGAAGGAAUGAAGGAAUCUUUCUCGUGGCUUCCCAGUGUGAUCCGUUCCACACUGCAUGAAACAGUUCCUCAUUGUGCUGGAGUGUGAGACUUAACCAGGAAACUGGGCAUCUGAGGAGGAACAGGUGCAAUGCUUUGACACUUAGAAGCCAAACAAAUUCCUGAGUGAGCAGAUCUUGCAGAUUUUAAGGAAAUUUAUUGGCGAAACAUCUAAGAAGGGCUUGAAUUUUUGUUUUCAGUAAGGAAUUGAAUGAUCUCUGCUGCCUUUAUCACACAUCUAAGAAUGCAGUGGCUCUUUUUAGUGCUUUUGCUAUUUUCUUGAGGAAAUGGAAAUAUGUUUUAAAAGCAUAUGCAGGAAGGUGGACUUGCAGAAGUUGUAAAACCUUGUAAGAAAGCACCUGCACGUUGUGCACUUGGGAUUCCAUGGCAUUAUAUUUUAUUGCUUUAUGGAUGCUUACGUGACUAUCAGAAUCCACAUCUAUAUUGUCCAUAUUCAGUAGUCUUUUCAUCUUGUUCAUGUGGACAGAAUCUAUUCAGGAUGCUUAAAUCUGCUAAAAUAUUUAUAAGGAAGUUGGCCCUUGGAGGAUGUUUCCCACAGGAUGCAGUGGGUGUCAGGGCUAAAGGUCAGGGCAGACAAAGUGAAGUGAAGGCUCCCUUGGAUUUAUUUUCCUACUUUUUUUCUUUCUUUUUCUUCUUUUGAAUGAAAAAUCUCUCUGUAAAGAGGCAUGGAACGUUUCUUUGCUACUUCCUACGUUUCCAUACACUAAGAAGAGGGAACAGACCUGUAAAUACUUAAGCCUUUUAAUAAAACUUUUCUUCCUUUCUUUAGGAGAGCAGGAAAGAAAAUAAAACCGACAACCCCAAAUCAGUGCAGUUAAUAUAUAUUCAUGGACUCUGAGCGUGGAAGUUCUGGGUGUAAAUGAAAAGAGCCAGAUGGAGUUUUGAGUGACUGUCAUGUACGGCUUAAGAAACUCACAUUCCUGAUACUAAUAAAAGGGCCAGAUUGGAGCUACAUAAUUAAUCCCAGUGUCCUUUUCAACACAUGAUAAGAUUUGGCUACAGCAGUCCAUAGAGCUAAUGGAGACAACUGUCAGGUUCUACAAAGCAGUGGAUUGUUUGCCUAAAAUAAAAAUACCUACGUGAUUAUUCUAGUACAUAUAUUUGUAUCUGCUGGCGAUGGGUACUCAUGUCCCAGUUCAAAUGGAAGAUAAAUAGAGCUGAUUUGCUCUUGAAUCUCCUUUCUGCCUUGAGGAUCCAUGUAAAUACAUACGUGAGAUAUGGCUGUAAAUAAAUGAUUCCUAUUAAAUAUCUAUCUUAGAUGGGGAGUAAAUGUUUUUUUAUUUUUUUCUUUAGGAGUUAGGUAGCAAAACUUGCUCUCCUCUGGAGUCCAUUUGAAAAGUAGUGACAGAUGAAUGCCAAGGAGCAAUUCUGCAAUCAUGUUUAUUCAGUGUGUGUAUCAGUGACCUGGGAGAAGCGUGCAGGAAGGGGUAGAGCAGAAAUGUUUCUGAGAUGGCACAAAGUGUGUGUUGGAGGCAGACAGGAGGAGGAGUGGGCAGAUGGCAGUCAGAACAAAACAGGUGAAUAAUCAGAUUGGGAACAAGCUGAGUAGGCUGUGGAAGCACGUGUGGUGUUUGCAAUUUUGGCUUAGUUACCAUGAUAGGGAUUUAAUUAUUUUAUGAUCUAUGCAAAAGAAUGGUAAAAAAGAAUCAUGAGCUUGCCCCGUGUGUAGUGGUGGAAGCAUGCCUGCUGUUGUGUGAGGGGGCCUGUGGGAGGAACAGAAAGGUCAGAGCCUUUGGGGCUGAAAGAACUUAAGGAAAAACAAAGCACAAAAGCCAUUUGUUCUGUGUUAGAAACCUCACCUGUAAGUUUGUUUGGAUUGUUUUGGUGUUAAUGCUCUAAAAUAUUACUGCCUGGAUACUACAGAUAUUCCUUGUUGUGAGAGGUUUUGCUGAAACAAACUAGAGAUGGCAAGAUGUGUUUGCGGUACUUUAACUAGAUAAAAGAAGUUUUGUAACUGGUUUGGAGACUUUCUAGACUUGACAGCUACCCAUUGUGUAGCUCUGUGAUCUCUUCCAGAUCAUAGCUUGGAGGCAGUACUGGAGUGAUGAAGAAAACAGGGAUUGUAGUGAUGAAUGAUUGAUCCCUUAACCCUUAGCAUUGUGUAGGUGUUAUACUGAAAAAAAAUCCACAGGUAGAAAUGCUGUCCCUUCCCACUUUGCUUAAGAAAAUUUAGGAUAUCACUUUGUUACUGUAAUAACGAAGGCUAUGAUCUGUACAAAAGCUAUUGAGAUGCUGUUGGUGAGCAUAGCAAUAACUUGUCAAAUCCAUCUUUCCUCCUGUAUAUUUGUCUCAAAACAUUCUUGCUUUGUUUCUUUUUUAGGGAGUUCAAUAACUUGGGAUAGCAGUGAGCUGCUCUAACUGGAGAACACCCUUCUAACCAUGAAGGGGAACUGUUUUGUCUAAGGUAGUACUUAAUAAGCAGAAGCACAACCCUUUUUCUAGUUUAAAACUUAUUUGGCACGCAUGAACUUGCUGCGCUUGAAAUUACUCUUCCAUAGUAUCAGUAUCCUUGUGUACUGUUGUUUUAAGAUACCUCAGCCUGAGUGAUGCUGGUAAAGAGCUCUACUGCGUGCGGAGGUUGAGGGAAUUAAGGCUGUAUUUCUGCGGAAGUGGCGGUUAGAAAGAGAAAGGAAAAAAGAUGAAUGUAUUCACAAGGAGUGCCCUAGAUAAGAUUGCUUCCUGUUUGAGGAUAUGCUGAAUCCUGUGGGAAUGAGGCAGUUAUACUACCAAAACACACUUCAGUUCUAAUGUUUCAUACUGAAUCACUGCUAUGUUAUAAGUGGUAUUAAUUGAAUUUAUGAAAACUUUAGCAUUCAUAUGACAAGUAUAUAGAAAUCCGUUCACCUGAAACAUCCUUUUGCAGUGUAAGAGCUGUGUGGAGAACAAAUGAACACUUGAAGCUUAACAUGAGUAUAAUGAAUCAAAUUGUCACGUGAAACUCAGAGGACUUCCUUCAUCUAUUCACUUCAUUGUUUCCUUUGCAGAUACAGCGCAGCUCAGCCAAAUGCAAGGUUGUCAUUGUUCUGAUGUUCAGAGUGUUUCUAAAUGUUGAAGAUGGAGCUCUCCCUCCUCUUUGCUUUGUCUUACGCUGUUUAGUUUAUUAAUUGUUCAGUGCAUUACACAGAGCAUUUUUACUAGCAGAAGUCAUGGUGUAAGUCCACAGUUUGGAGUAAUUGGUGAGGUGCAUUGUGAUUGUGUUGAUAACCUACAGAAAAGGCUCAAAUUUGUACCUUCUGGAAACUGCUGUUUCCCAAAGCUGAUGCUUGGCAACAGUAGAUGCCCUGCUGACCUUUUGCAGCUUGGCAGAAAGUGCUUCUGAGUGUGUGAGCUUCCAGAGCUUAUAUCCCAGGGUACAGGCUGCUCAGGGCUGCUGGCUGGCACAGUGUGUUUCCAUCAGAGUAAAAUGGAGGUCACAGUUCAGUAAAGUAUUAUUUGGAAAAAGCCUGUGGAAGUACAAUACAUUAAAAACUCAGUUUUGGCAUUGAAGUGAGUGAUGACUUGUCUAGGUAUUUAGCUGCUGUUACCUGGGAUUUCUAAGAUGUAGCUCAGCUGUUGGACCUGGAGAGGCCCUGUUUGCAGCAGUAGUCUCAUGUCAGCUUUAACUUCAAUUACCUUUUCGUUAAGUAUAUAAAGUUAAGAUUGCUGCGAGUUCUUCAUCAUUGUUUCUUUUGUGUUCCUUUUGUCUUGUACUUUGUGGUCGUGAAAGCUGCUGCUUGUUCAUGGCUUUUCCUGGAGAUGGGCAUCUUUGGGCCUAAAGGCUGUUGGUUUUUUCUUUCUAUCUGUAUUUACUCUGCUGAAUGGUCCAUAUUUGACAUGCGUCAUUGCUUUGAAUAUAUUCAUACAACUUGCUUAUCUACGAUAGUAUAACAUGCUCUGCUAACCUCGUGUUUUCUGAGAGUACUUCCAGAUGUUUAUAUAUAAACCACAUAUGAUAUAUUAUUUGGGCUGCUGCUAAAACUUGAUAAUAACUGAUCUGAUCAUAUAUAGACUGUGCUUGCAAAUAAAUAUAAUUUUCUCAUUGUUUCCCUUCAAUCUACUGCUUUUGGAGCUUUGGUUAGAUUAUUAGUUUGGGGAUCUCAUAGAAUCACAGAAUGGCUUAGGUUGGAAGGGACCUUAGGGGUCAUCAAGCUCCAACCCUCUGCUGCAGGCAGGGCUGCCAACCUCUUUAUGUAUUACUAGACCAUAUGUCCUUAUGUAUUACUAGACCAGGCUGUCCAGGGCCCCAUCCAGCCUGGCCUUGAACACCUCCAGGGAUGGAGCAUCUACAACUUCUCUAGGUGGAUUUAGCUAGUAAAACUUCUUAGUUAACAUUGCAUUCACUUCUACAAAGAUAACUAAACAUUUUUUCUAUGAAAUUAGGUUAAGACAAGAAUAUAUAGUGGACUCAUUUCCAGGACUGGUUUUGGAGUACAAGUUAUCCUAACACAGUGGUCUCCAGGAUUUGUUUUCAUAGGUUCUCUUGUCUUAGCUGCCAGAUUUCUCUGUAGGCCAAUGACACCAUCCUUUUAAUGCAGCACAAUGGGAGAACUAAGCUGUCUGCUGGUGCAUCAGGCACACUGGGGUGCAUUCAGGUCACUGGGACACUGGGAGCAUUCUGGUAUUUGGGAAAGCAGUUCUGCAACCUGUCCCAUGUUUGUCCUGUGUCAAGGGAACAGCACUUGAAGGAAAAAUUAAGGGAAGUUGGGGUAACUCCUAGAGCUUCAUGAAGGUUGGUCUGCUGUAUCUGCAGGGUAUCUAGCAGAAUGGACAACUAAACAGCUUCUGAAGUUCAACACUUGAAUCAGCUGUGAGAUAGGACAGAUAUAUAAGAGAGCCAAGCUUCCCCAUACAACCAGACCUCUGCUGUGGUUCUUAAAGACUGUUAAUCAUUAAUUAAACUGCACCAAGAGAGUUUUUAUAAGUCAGCUACUUACGGAGAAAAGGUCAGAAGUAGUUUUAAGUCCAUUUGUUGAUGUAUUAUAAAUGUACUGUUGUAGAAGUCUACUUAAUAGUGUAGGCUGUUCAUAGUAUGCUGGUAUGAUAGGGUUAACACUCAUUCAGGUGCAUUUGAAUUCUUCAGAUUGAGAAGCAGAUCACAAACUCCACGUGAAACUGACCUUCUAAGGCUGAUUUCCUGGAGUAGUUUCAUCUUAUAGAUGAUUUUACUACUUCUCUAUUGGGCUAAUACAGUUUCUGCAGGCUGCUGCUUGAGGUGCAGCGGUUCUGUAAAACAAAGUGGGGAUUUGGUCACUACAAAAGAAGAAUAAAAGCAGUGGGUCUGUGUGAACUGAGCAUGGCAGGAGUCCUAUAAGGAGGUUUUGUUUUUCAUGUAGGCACGUGGUUGUUGUUCAUGUGUAAAUAUGUGGAAAUGAGUUGGUAUGGUUAAAUUUACUCCACCUAAUUUGUUUUCUUCUUAGUUUUGUGGUUCGUUUGUGUUGGAGAGAAUUAUUCUUUUUAAUGACAGCUUUGUUCUCUAGGAAAGUGCACUUUAAAUCUAGAUAAAACCUAAUUUAUCAUGUAGAACCUCAAGACUUAAUGGUGUUUCUGUGUUAAAUCUUGUGGGCAGACUUUACCACAGGCCUGUACCCUUCACCUAAUGAAGUAAUUAUUGCUUGUCUGUUAAUAACCAGCCGCCUUGGUUAGUGGAUUUUGCAAAUGCUUUUUAGGAAUUUGAUUGUUCAGAAAUCUGUUGCACUGCCAAGUUCUCCAAGGGAGGUUUUGUGGUGGGCGCUGUAGAUGCUUUGGAAUACUGAGAAAUAUUUCUGUUUGGUUUUGUUGUUUUUGCUUGCCUUUUGCCUUUCUUUAAGGUCAGAAUGCUGUCUGGACUGAUCUGUACUAUCUGUGUACCAGCAGGUGGAGCAUUGGUAGCAUGAAAUGGGCUUCUGUCAUGCUGUUCAGGUGACUGGGAGGAAUACAGUUCCUUAGCAUUAUAGAAUAGUGAUCUCCACGGAGGUGGAAGCUGCUGACUCUGUUUGGUGUUAACAUGUAGCGUUAACAAAAAAUGCUGAAGGGCAAUUUUCAGACUUGCAACUGGGGUGAAUUUGAAUGCAGAGAGCAAAAAGCAGCUUGGUGUUUCUCUGCUUUUUUUCCAAAUGCCACUUAUCUGCUGCAAGGUGUGGAACUAUUGAAGCUACAUCUAAAUGACUGUGAAGCUUUUAAGGGAACAGUAUUUUGGCAAAUUUGUGGGGGUUUUGUUUGCUGCAGAGUCAGAGGAGGUUCAUGUUGUGGUUUCGCAAUUCACCUGCACAGAUUUAAAGUUCUGCUAUCACUAAAACAGACAGUCCUGCCUUACACAGUUGCUUCCUGCCAGAGCCAGGGACUGCCCUGCCAGCUGCCUGCAGAAAACUGGUCUUUUUUUUCCCCCUGACCAGGAUUAGUUUGCAGCUAAAUAUAGUGGUUUGUCCCAGAAACUUGCAUCAUAAUUUUUUUAUCAAAUUCCUGUAACAAUGGAGGAAGCAAGAAUCCUUCUGCUACUCUACAUUUACUGCAGUCAAUCUAAAUCACCCUGAAAUCACUGUGUAGGUACUAUAGCAGUUUGUUCAUGUCUUUGGAAAAAGGUCCCUUAUGAUAUUGAUGCCAGCCUAAUGGUAAUGAUGGUAAACAAGAUUAAUUAUCUCUGAGUGAAGUUCAUAUCACAGGGUCCUCUUUUGAGGUGCAACCAAGAUCUCAACUGCCUGGAAUUCUUGCGUUUAUACAUUACUCUGUAUUUUUCAGACGUGCCCAGAUAUGAAGUGUUUGGGUUCUGUGACUUAAAGUUCAGCUAGUAAAAACAGUUUCAGGAGUGACUUUGGAAUGACUUUACGUUGUCAUCUGCGUAAUACCUGUUGCUGUAAGUUGUAUAGUGGCAUUCUUUGUUGCCGAUCAUACUUUUUCUCAUAUAUAUAUAUACACACACACACACACAUAUAUUUUCCUGUUUGGUUUGUUUGUUUCAUAUGAAAAGCAGGAAGAAAGAAGAUGAAUCUUCCUUCAAUUCCCUUGGGGUACUUUGCCAGGAUUGAAGUUGUGAAUAUUUUGUAUCAGAUCUCCCACAUGAAGGAGACUACAAACUCAGUGUAGUAACGAUUGCCUUUUCUUUUAGUAGUCCAACAGCUAGAAGUUAUGUUGUUCCAAGUAAGGAAAUAUGACUCAAAAUCAACAGAUAACACUGCUGCAUUUACAGGCUGGGAAGUCUGUUUUGCUGCUUUGAGUUAGAAACUGUAUAAGGAGGUGGCUUGAUGCUACAGCAAAUGCUGUUUCAGAGGCUAUGAGAGGAGUAAUUUUCUAAAGGUAUCUGUCAGAUCUUUUGUGCAAUUGACUUGAAAAUAUGAGGAAAUAUUUUCAAAAUGAACUGUUCAGGCAGUGGGUUGCAUCUCUUUCUGGUUACUGUCGUUAAAUCCUGAUUUUUGGAUUUUCUGGGAGCAACUUGGUAAAAAAAAAUCUUACAUUGUGAAAAUAAAUGCUUUAAGAGUUGUCGAUUUUUA